rnacentral:rRNA from 1 species
ACUUUAAAUCCUUUAACGAGGACCUAUUGGAGGGCAAGUCUGGUGCCAGCAGCCGCGGUAACUCCAGCUCCAAUAUUGUUGCGGUUAAAAAGCUCGUAGUUGGAUUCCUGUCUUCGGCCGGGCGGUGCCGCCCGAUAAUCAAGGGCGUCGCACUGCCUUGGGAGCGUUGGUGUCAAAGCCGCGCUCUUUUAACGGUCGGACAAUACCACCGGAGUGGCGGGGGAUAGGCGUCGGCUCUCGCAGUUCGACGCCGAAGGACCGCCCGUAAUCGUCCGAGGUGCCUUUAACCGGGUGUCUCGGGCGGCCGGUAACGUUUACUUUGAACAAAUUAGAGUGCUCAAAGCAGGUGCAUACCUUCGCCUGAAUAUCACAGCAUGGAAUGAUGGAAUAGGACCUCGGUCUUAUUUUGUUGGUUUUCUCUAGACCCGAGGUAAUGGUUAAUAGAGACAGACGGGGGC